rnacentral:lncRNA from 1 species
GGGGAUGCACAAACGACGACGACCUUCGAUUGAAGUCUGGGGUAAGCUAGUGAGGUGGAGAUCGAGCCGGGGAUGACGUGUUUGACGACUCGACGGCAAACGACGAGAUCGACGACGCGAUUGGGAAUUAAAGCCGAGCGAGCCGAGAGGACACGCUGGCGAGCAAAAAACCGCGCGAGCACCGGAUAGGAAAAACGACGAUGUUGUCGCACACAGUGCGAAGGCGAACGACGCAACGACGAGGACCUAGGAUGUGCGACACACGACACGCAAUCAGCCUGUCGCGUCGCGACAACAGCCGAGUGCGGUAAGGGGCUGGAAAACGACGACGGGCCAAACAGAGGAGCUCGCGUAGGACAAACUCGGCACGACGGCCAUGGACGAGGUGAGCGAGCUUAGCACGACAGAGGACUCGGCGCGCGGCAGGAAAAGGGCUCGAGCACGAACACGGCAGGCGAGCAGAGGGGCUGGGCAGAGGGAUCUUCUUUGACCAGAGCCGUGCGACGCAGUCCAAGCUGAGGCAGGGGCGAGCUCCAUGGCGAGCUCGAGGGAGAUGAAGAAAGGGGGCGAUUGGGCAGGGAGAUGCGCACGCGGUGAUGGGAGCAGGGAGCGCGCUGAGCCGGGUCCAAGCACCAGGGAGCUGCUCGCGGCCGGAGCUGAGCAGAGGGACACGCGCCGGAGCUAGGAGCUGAGCGUCGGCCACAGAGAAAUAUAGGGGGCGCGCGACGAACUUGAGAAAGGCUGGAGAACGAGCUGGGAAGGUGGGCGCGCUGGAAGAGUAGGAGCCAGGGAGAAUCGACGGCGGCCGCAGAGACCAAAGGCGCACGCGAUUUUUAUCCCGCGAUGGCUGAAAAAAUCAACAGGGCGACGGGAUUCUCUUCCACGAGCUUGAGCGGUGCAGGGAUAAGCCCCACGGCAGCGGAUAGGAUCACGGGGAAGAGAGAACGCCUGAAA